GUCUAUGGCCAUACCACCCUAAACGCACACAAUCUAGUCUAAUCUCAUAAGCUAAGCAGGGUCGGGCCUGCUUAAUACUUGAAUGGGAGACUCAUGUAAUGCAUGACCUUCUGUGCC
rnacentral:rRNA from 1 species